rnacentral:rRNA from 1 species
UACGUAGGGGGCAAGCGUUGUCCGGAUUUACUGGGCGUAAAGAGCGUGUAGGCGGCCACGCAGGUCCGUUGUGAAAACUGGGAGGCUCAACCUCCAGCUGUCGACGGAAACCGUGUGGCUAGAGUCCGGAAGAGGAGAGUGGAAUUCCUGGUGUAGCGGUGAAAUGCGCAGAUAUCAGGAAGAACACCAAUGGCGAAGGCAGGUCUCUGGGCCAUUACUGACACUGAGAAGCGAAAGCAUGGGGAGCGAACAGG